GGAUUAGAUACCCCACUAUGCUUAGCCCUAAACAUAAAAAAUUAUAAACAAAAUUAUUCGCCAGAGUACUACUAGCAAUAGCUUAAAACUCAAAGGACUUGGCGGUGCCUUACAUCCCUCUAGAGGAGCCUGUUCUAUAAUCGAUAAACCCCGAUCUACCUCACCAAUCUUUGCUAAAUCAGCCUAUAUACCGCCAUCUUCAGCAAACCCUAAAAAGGAAUUAAAGUAAGCACAAGUAUUAACAUAAAAACGUUAGGUCAAGGUGUAGCUUAUAGAGUGGAAAGAAAUGGGCUACAUUCCCCGACUCGGGGAACUAAAUUUUAUACSAAAACCUAUGUGAAAUCAAAAGUUAAAGGUGGAUUUAGCAGUAAAUUAAGAAUAGAGAGCUUAAUUGAAUAUGGCCAURAGGCACGCACACACCGCCCG
rnacentral:rRNA from 1 species